rnacentral:tRNA from 1 species
GACCGCGUAGCUCAGUUGGCAGACAGGCAGAGCAUUGGGCUAGUAUUCCAAAGGUCGUAGGUUCGAUUCCCAUCGUGGCCA